CCUACACAGUAUUGUAUUAGCAAGUAUAUCAAUUCAAAGCUUAUACCUUUACCGAAAAACAACAAUUCAAUGGCAUAUUAUAAGAAUAUCAUAAAUAUGUGAACCAGAGGCAGAGAAGAAUUAUGUGACGUGAAACUGUGCUCACGAUCAUGUUUUUAUUGCUUCAUUUCCUGACUUGUCUGUUGCCAUAAAAAUCUGCAGUUUGGCAUGCUUUUAUAAUUUAAAAGCAAACAGAAACAAGUACUUUGAAGUAUAUCCGAUCACUCCUUACAAUCAAAGUGUAAAGUGCGGAAGUGGAAGCAUGUAUAUGAUACUUUUCCCUCAUCCCCUUUCCCGCAAUCAAUUUUUUAUGGGACAUGUGACCAGCCCCAUGCACUCCCCAGCCAGGGUUUUUCCUCCACAAGAGACAAGAGGGAAAAGCCUGGGAACGAGGUUGACAUGAAUUUUGAUAUUUAUAAAUUUGGGAAAAUUCUGCGCGGGCAUUCCAUAGAAUAAAUGAUCAUGACACAUAUUAAACGAAUAAAUUAUUAUUAAGGGGCUGUAGAUUCCUGUGCAACGUUCAAACCAGAGCGGCUGCCGAGUUCAAUGGUUUAAUGAAGCAUUCCCAUACUAACACAAUUACCUGGGCUUGCUCGCAUACACACAAAAGACACACCUUGUAACAGCAAAAUUGUUACGAGUUUGUUCAAACAACCCGAUAUCAGAUUGUGUUCUACUUCGAAUAUCCCAGCUUGUUACAAGCUUGUUUCAACAAGAUGAUAUCAGGUUGUGUAAAUUGUGUUUGCACUGUUUGUAGGCUAUAUAUGGUUUUAUUGUUCAAGUAGUCCUAAAUGAGGAGUUAGAUUACUCAUACGCAGAAAGCAGACCUGGCCGCCUUGCAGACCGACACAAACAAUCCCAUUCGGGGCGCAUGCUAUUGCCAGUACAUAACGUUCGAAAUGAAAUUCUUCAACGAAACGUCCAGUACGCAGAUUCCACAAUUUCAUCGUUUUAUCUCGCGAACCUGACAACAGAAAUUCACCUCCUGGUACAAAUGCCAAUGCUCUGAUAUCGUGUGUAUGCCCUCGAAGUCUAUGGAGAGUCUGUCCCGUUUUGAGGUCCCAAAACAUCAAAGAAUGACGAGAACCU